rnacentral:rRNA from 1 species
AGCAGCCGCGGUAAUUCCAGCUCCAAUAGCGUAUAUUAAAGUUGUUGCAGUUAAAAAGCUCGUAGUUGAAUUUCGGGGUCAGUAGGUUGGUCAUGCCUUCGGUAUGUACUGGUCUCACUGAUUCCUCCUUCUUGAAGAUCCGUAAUGUCAUUAAUUUGGUGUUGCGGGGAAUCAGGACUGUUACUUUGAAAAAUUGAGUGUUUAAAGCAGGCUAACGCUUGAAUACAUUAGCAUGGAAUAAUGAAAUAGGACGUUUGAUCCUAUUUUGUUGGUUUCUAGGGUUGACGUAAUGAUUAAUAGGGAUAGUUGGGGGCAUUAGUAUUCAAUUGUCAGAGGUGAAAUUCUUGGAUUUAUUGAAGACUAACUACUGCGAAAGCAUUUGCCAAGGAUGUUUUCAUUAAUCAAGAACGAAAGUUAGGGGAUCGAAGACGAUCAGAUACCGUCGUAGUCUUAACCAUAAACUAUGCCGACUAGGGAUCGGAUGAUGUUAAUUUUUUAAUGACUCAUUCGGCGCCUUACG